rnacentral:RNase_P_RNA from 1 species
GAAGCAGGCCGGUCUGCCGCUGGCACAUACGUGCGAGAGGAAAGUCCGGGCAACACAGAGCACCGCCCUUCUUAACUGGAAGACAGCCGCGAGGUUGUGGUAAAUGCAGAAGAAAACAACCGCCCGCAAGGGUAAGGGUGAGAAGGCAGGGUAAGAGCCUACCAAUAUCGGCAGUGAUGUCGGUAGUUGUGCAUCGGCGGGUUGAAAGGCCAAAUAUACCGGUAUAUUCGGGUUGCUCGCCCGAGCCGGGGGGUAGGUCGUUAGAGGUCGUCGGCAACGACGGCAGUAGAUAAAUGGCAGGCACCGCUCUCGGGCGGAACAGAAUCCGGCUUAUAGGCCCGCUUCUUUU